rnacentral:lncRNA from 1 species
GCAAGAGGUGUUUUUAUAUUUAAUACGCAGGCACAUAUGUCAACAGUUGAAUUUACAUUUAUAUAUUGACAAUUUUCGAUCGUUCCUUUUCGUGUUAUAAUUUCGACUAAAUCACUGCACUUUCAGCUUAUUAUGAUGUCGUCAACAAUUUGAAUAGAAAUUUGUAUAUAUCAACGAUAAACUUUCAAUUGAAACCUUGUCUUGAUAAAUGUCUUGACAUGAAUCGACGACAACGUGAAUUCACUGCUCUGCAAAGUCACUCGUUGUCUCUAAACAAUCCCAGUAAAUCGCUGCGUCGGCUUUCGACAACGUUCUCAGCUCCUUAGUCAAAGUUCCCUUUGUAUUUGCAAUGUUGAAGACCAGGAUUAUUCGUUAAUUUUACAGUUUUACUCGUCUUGUAAGCCAUCGUGUUGAAAACAAAAUUUUCUUCACUCCUUGCCGUAAGCCCUUCCUACUCC